CUGCAGAUUCCUCUUUUGCUAUCUGCAGAGUGAGACUGGCAGCACAUGACGCAGAUAACUCGCUCCACCACGCUGGCUUACAGAUUUCCUGCUGAGGGAGUAUCUCUCCUUCCAAGGGAUAGACUGAGGCCCACAGAUGCAGUGUUUUCCAUUUAAUAAACUGUGCCAAUUUCAUGUGACCUGAUAUUGAAGACUAUAAGAUGGAAUGGAACACUAAAUACCCGACCUCACAACUUUUUUUUACUUCAUAGUACCCAACUACCAAAAAUAUGGAUCUCAUGAAGGAAGCCAGCUGCCAUGUUAUUAGGAUACUUGGGUAGCCUGCAGAGAAGCUCACAUGGUGAAGAACUAAAGUGUCCAGCCAAUAGCAACAAAGAACUGAAGCCUGUCGGCAACCACCUACGUAAGCUUAGAGAAGAAUCCUCCCCAGGUAUGGUCUAUAAAGUCAUCAUGAACUCUGAAGUAGCAAAGACUGAGACAUUACUCCUGGGGGAAAUACAGCACGG